UAGUCUCUGAGAUUUGUGGAUGCCCCAGAUUUUCGUCCUUUGCGUGCCUAAGAGCUAUACUCUAAACUUGGUUAACGCUUCUAUUACUGUACAAGCCAGAAAAUUCGCGUAAUCUUUUUCGGUUGUUUCUGUCUCCCUCAGCCUCGAACACGAAUUUAUGCAGUGCUGCUAUGCACUCUUUCUUGCUCGAACGUAGAUUUUCACAUAUUAAAUCAUUUAUAUUGUGGCGAAAACAAAAUGUAUAUUUUCGUUUCUUCUUCAAUAGUAACCACUUUUAAUUCAUUCCCGGACGAGCGCCAAAAAUGUGGGGUUUUUAUUUACUUUAGGUUUAAUAAUUAAUUUGUAUUUAAUGUUUGAUAAAUUUAGGAUAAAUGUAUUCUUUAUUUUGCGUCGUUUAGUUCUUGCGGCCGUCGUCGUUUCUGCGUCUUUUCGGUACCGUCGUAGUUUUUUUUUUCCUUUGCCUCUUCCUUGCUCGUCGUCUUCUUAGUGAUGGCCUUAUCAUUGUUCGCCGUUCUUUUAGCGAUGGGAUCAUCGUUACUCGUCGUCUAGGGAUCUUAUCUUCCUUUGGAAUUUUGUGUGGUACACCAACCCACGUUCAUCCUUACCCAAGAUUUUGUUUAACAAAAAAAAGUAACUGGCAACAAAAUUUACAGCACAAAAAGACAUGACGUUAACAGAACAAAUGUGCUGGAAACGUGAGAAAUGUCCUCCCAAUGGAAGUACAGCGCGGUACAUUUCCGUCGAAAUGAACCCCCCGCUUAAACUCGACGGCCCUACUCGGCACCCAUUUCACCCUCAGCUUCAAGGCAAACGCAGACCACCAACUUGGCCCACCAACGCCCAAGGUUCUCAUCCUGAACCGCAGAUGGAUACGAACUCCAUAACUCAGGUUCUUAUGGAACUACAGAUGGCAGUAGCGAGCCUCACCUUUUCUAUGCGUGGUUUCCCCAAAGUUUAUCCGAUUCGGAUAAUUUUUUUUUUGUCAAUAAAUUAGUUUCAAACAUGUGUACGUACUACAUUUUUUGAUGUCAUAUUCAUAUAAUUCAAAACAUAUUUUAUUGAGAUGCCAAGCUUUUUUGGCACCUAUUAUUUUCCAAAAUAAAAGAAGAAAUUUGGUUUAACUUUAUAAUAUUUAUUUGAUUUUUGUGGCUGAGCUAAAGCCGAUUGCUUGCUAGGGCGAGAUAGGUAAGAGGUAUGCAACCGAUGCGCAGAGGGGUUGGACUGGAGUUAAAAGACGACGGCGGCAGAUCAAAAGUGAAGUGGCGGCGGCACAGCAAGUUAAUUGCCGAAUUGCCGGCGGCAGAGAGCCCCUUUAGCGGGAGAGCGCAGCAGCUCUACAGAACGUUAACGCUUGCAAAACAUUGGCGGCUCACUCUGCUCAUACAAUCACAAUUACAAUGCUUAAAUUUACUUCCUAAUUCAUUCUUCGGCGGCUGGCCCGAACAUACUCCCCCGUUGGGACCUAGUCUCUCAACAGAUUCCUUAAGGGGCAGCAAACAUCGCCGAAUGACGGCCCUCCUGAUGUUUCCUGAGGAUGUAUUCAAGUCAGCGAACCGAAACACUCCGUCCUUGGCCAACGCAUUGGAGGAAGAUUUUCGUCCUUCACCA